rnacentral:rRNA from 1 species
AAAAGAACCCCGGCGAGGGGAGUGAAAAAGAACCUGAAACCGUGUACGUACAAGCAGUGGGAGCACGCUUAGGCGUGUGACUGCGUACCUUUUGUAUAAUGGGUCAGCGACUUAUAUUCUGUAGCAAGGUUAACCGAAUAGGGGAGCCGAAGGGAAACCGAGUCUUAACUGGGCGUUAAGUUGCAGGGUAUAGACCCGAAACCCGGUGAUCUAGCCAUGGGCAGGUUGAAGGUUGGGUAACACUAACUGGAGGACCGAACCGACUAAUGUUGAAAAAUUAGCGGAUGACUUGUGGCUGGGGGUGAAAGGCCAAUCAAACCGGGAGAUAGCUGGUUCUCCCCGAAAGCUAUUUAGGUAGCGCCUCGUGAAUUCAUCUCCGGGGGUAGAGCACUGUUUCGGCAAGGGGGUCAUCCCGACUUACCAACCCGAUGCAAACUGCGAAUACCGGAGAAUGUUAUCACGGGAGACACACGGCGGGUGCUAACGUCCGUCGUGAAGAGGGAAACAACCCAGACCGCCAGCUAAGGUCCCAAAGUCAUGGUUAAGUGGGAAACGAUGUGGGAAGGCCCAGACAGCCAGGAUGUUGGCUUAGAAGCAGCCAUCAUUUAAAGAAAGCGUAAUAGCUCACUGGUCGAGUCGGCCUGCGCGGAAGAUGUAACGGGGCUAAACCAUGCACCGAAGCUGCGGCAGCGACGCUGAUGCGUUGUUGGGUAGGGGAGCGUUCUGUAAGCCUGUGAAGGUGUGCUGUGAGGCAUGCUGGAGGUAUCAGAAGUGCGAAUGCUGACAUAAGUAACGAUAAAGCGGGUGAAAAGCCCGCUCGCCGGAAGACCAAGGGUUCCUGUCCAACGUUAAUCGGGGCAGGGUGAGUCGACCCCUAAGGCGAGGCCGAAAGGCGUAGUCGAUGGGAAACAGGUUAAUAUUCCUGUACUUGGUGUUACUGCGAAGGGGGGACGGAGAAGGCUAUGUUGGCCGGGCGACGGUUGUCCCGGUUUAAGCGUGUAGGCUGGUUUUCCAGGCAAAUCCGGAAAACUAAGGCUGAGGCGUGAUGACGAGGCACUACGGUGCUGAAGCAACAAAUGCCCUGCUUCCAGGAAAAGCCUCUAAGCAUCAGGUAACAUCAAAUCGUACCCAAACCGACACAGGUGGUCAGGUAGAGAAUACCAAGGCGCUUGAGAGAACUCGGGUGAAGGAACUAGGCAAAAUGGUGCCGUAACUUCGGGAGAAGGCACGCUGAUAUGUAGGUGAAGCGACUUGCUCGUGGAGCUGAAAUCAGUCGAAGAUACCAGCUGGCUGCAACUGUUUAUUAAAAACACAGCACUGUGCAAACACGAAAGUGGACGUAUACGGUGUGACGCCUGCCCGGUGCCGGAAGGUUAAUUGAUGGGGUCAGCGCAAGCGAAGCUCUUGAUCGAAGCCCCGGUAAACGGCGGCCGUAACUAUAACGGUCCUAAGGUAGCGAAAUUCCUUGUCGGGUAAGUUCCGACCUGCACGAAUGGCGUAAUGAUGGCCAGGCUGUCUCCACCCGAGACUCAGUGAAAUUGAACUCGCUGUGAAGAUGCAGUGUACCCGCGGCAAGACGGAAAGACCCCGUGAACCUUUACUAUAGCUUGACACUGAACAUUGAGCCUUGAUGUGUAGGAUAGGUGGGAGGCUUUGAAGUGUGGACGCCAGUCUGCAUGGAGCCGACCUUGAAAUACCACCCUUUAAUGUUUGAUGUUCUAACGUUGACCCGUGAUCCGGGUUGCGGACAGUGUCUGGUGGGUAGUUUGACUGGGGCGGUCUCCUCCUAAAGAGUAACGGAGGAGCACGAAGGUUGGCUAAUCCUGGUCGGACAUCAGGAGGUUAGUGCAAUGGCAUAAGCCAGCUUGACUGCGAGCGUGACGGCGCGAGCAGGUGCGAAAGCAGGUCAUAGUGAUCCGGUGGUUCUGAAUGGAAGGGCCAUCGCUCAACGGAUAAAAGGUACUCCGGGGAUAACAGGCUGAUACCGCCCAAGAGUUCAUAUCGACGGCGGUGUUUGGCACCUCGAUGUCGGCUCAUCACAUCCUGGGGCUGAAGUAGGUCCCAAGGGUAUGGCUGUUCGCCAUUUAAAGUGGUACGCGAGCUGGGUUUAGAACGUCGUGAGACAGUUCGGUCCCUAUCUGCCGUGGGCGCUGGAGAACUGAGGGGGGCUGCUCCUAGUACGAGAGGACCGGAGUGGACGCAUCACUGGUGUUCGGGUUGUCAUGCCAAUGGCACUGCCCGGUAGCUAAAUGCGGAAGAGAUAAGUGCUGAAAGCAUCUAAGCACGAAACUUGCCCCGAGAUGAGUUCUCCCUGACUCCUUGAGAGUCCUGAAGGAACGUUGAAGACGACGACGUUGAUAGGCCGGGUGUGUAAGCGCAGCGAUGCGUUGAGCUAACCGGUACUAAUGAACCGUGAGGCUUAACCUUACAACGCCGAAGCUGUU